CAAGAAGCCACCAGAGAUGUCUCCAGAAGCCACCAGAGAUGUCCCCAAGGCCACCAGGGGGAUGUCCCUCCCAGGAGAAGCCGGGCCACCCAAGAUGGCUGCCUGGAAGCCACCAGAGAUGUUCCCCCCCCCCAAAGGUUCCUGGGCCACCAAGGACGUCCCCGUGGCCCUUGAGGAUGUCCCCACGUGUCCUGAGGCCACCCAAGGUGGCCUCCUGGUGACCUGGGCCAGCACGAGAUGUCCCCAGGUCACCAAGGUUGUCCCCACGGCCUCAAGUCCAUCAACGAUGAUGUUCCUCCCCCAACAACAAGAAGGUCCCAGCUCCAUCGGGGAUGUCCCCCAGGUCCAUCUCCGCUGUCCCCAAGAGGGUGACAAGGCCAGUGAGGGACACGCCAAGGUGCCAGCUCCAUCCACGACGUCCUUAAGAAGGUCCCAGGUCCAUCCAAGGACGUCCCAGGGCCAUCGAGAACAUCCCAAGCUCCAUCCAGAAGGUCCCAGGUCCAUCGAGAACAUCCCAAGCUCCAUCCAGAAGGUCCCAGGUCCAUUGAGAACAUCCCAAAGCUCCAUCCACGAUGGCCCCAGAAGAUCCCAGGUCCAUCCAGAAGAUCUCGGGUCCAUCCAGAAGAUCCCCAGAAGGUCCCAGGUCCAUCCAGAAGAUCUCGGGUCCAUCCAGAAGAUCCCCAGAAGGUCCCAGGUCCAUUGAGAACAUCCCAAAGCUCCAUCCAGGACAUCCCCAGAAGGUCCCAGGUCCAUCCAGAAGGUCCCAGGUCCAUCCAGAAGGUCGCUCCUCAGGCCCCACGGGGCCUCAACCCCCCAUCCCUCCCCAACAUCCCCAUCGAAUCCACGCCAUCCUGAUCCGUACUGGUCCGUACUGGGAGCACUGGUCUGUACUGGGAGCUCUAAUCUGUACUGGGAGCCCUGAUCCAUACUGGUCUGUACUGGGAGCUCUGAUCUAUACUGGUCUGUACUGGGAGCCCCGACCCGUACUGGUUUGUACUGGUCCAUACUGGUGGGAGACGCGGGAUCUUUCUGGAAAGUUUUUAAUCUAGAACCUGGAAAAUCCACGGGCGCGCGCUGGGGGCGGGGCCAGCGGCGCUGCCCCUCCCCCUUCCCCCCCAAACUCCCUCCCCCU
rnacentral:lncRNA from 1 species